rnacentral:lncRNA from 1 species
GAAGGUCAUGGACCUCUGCUUCUCCAAGCGUGAGCUGAGCUGGCUGGACGACCUCAUGCCUGAGAGCAAAAAGAAGAAGCUGGAUGAUGCGAAGAAGAAGGAGGAGGAGGAGGAGGCUGAGAAGAUGUUGGAUAUUGGGGGUGAUAAGUUCCCCCUGGAAAGCAGGAAGUUGCUAAGUAGUCCUGGCAAGAACAACAGCUUCAGAUGUGACCCUUCUGAGAUUAAUAUAUCAGAUGAAAUGCCUAAAACCACAGUCUGGAAGGCUCUCAGCAUAAAUUCUGGAAACACGAAAGAAAAAAGGUAAGGAGAGCUCUGGCUCCUGACUUUCAUUUUCCCCUGUCUUUUGAAAACGGUGACACUGUUGAUGGUAAAAUGAGUGUUGCUUGUAGGACUGAAUUUGUCUCGUAAAUAACAGAACUGUCGCUAACCGUACAGUAAGACAAAUAAAAAUAAAAAGUUUCCAAAUGUCUGGAGACAGGACGUUCUG